AUUGAGUUUGAUCCUGGCUCAGGACGAACGCUGGCGGCGUGCUUAACACAUGCAAGUCGAACGGUAAGGCCCUUCGGGGUACACGAGUGGCGAACGGGUGAGUAACGCGUGAGUAACCUGCCCUUGACUCUGGGAUAACAGAUGGAAACGUCUGCUAAUACCGGAUACUCAGCCUUGUGGGCAUCCGCAGGGUUGGAAAGCUCCGGCGGUCAAGGAUGGACUCGCGUCCUAUCAGCUAGUUGGUGGGGUAACGGCCUACCAAGGCGACGACGGGUAGCCGGCCUGAGAGGGCGACCGGCCACAUUGGGACUGAGAUACGGCCCAGACUCCUACGGGAGGCAGCAGUGGGGAAUAUUGCACAAUGGGCGAAAGCCUGAUGCAGCAACGCCGCGUGCGGGAUGACGGCCUUCGGGUUGUAAACCGCUUUCAGCAGGGACGAAGCGCAAGUGACGGUACCUGCAGAAGAAGCACCGGCUAACUACGUGCCAGCAGCCGCGGUAAUAAUC
rnacentral:rRNA from 1 species